rnacentral:rRNA from 1 species
AACGUGGGUGGUUCGCCACCGGCGACGUCGCGAGAAGUCCAUUGAACCUUAUCAUUUAGAGGAAGGAGAAGUCGUAACAAGGUUUCCGUAGGUGAACCUGCGGAAGGAUCAUUG